rfam:Hydrogenophilales bacterium RIFOXYA1_FTLL_63_33 rifoxya1_full_scaffold_22909, whole genome shotgun sequence.
GCGAGAGUGGCGGAAUUGGUAGACGCACUGGAUUUAGGUUCCAGCGCCGCAAGGCGUGGGGGUUCGAGUCCCCCCUUUCGCA